rnacentral:rRNA from 1 species
ACAUAUGGAGCGAGCGUUACUCGGAAUCACUGGGCGUAAAGGGUGCGUAGGCUGUUUAAUAAGUCGUUGUUUUAACUUACGGGCUUAACCUGUUAUGUGAUAGCGAUACUGUUAGACUUGAAUACUUGAGGGGUAAAUGGAAUUUCCGGUGUAGCGGUGGAAUGCGUAGAUAUCGGAAAGAACACCGAUGGCGAAGGCAGUUUACUGGUAAGUCAUUGACGCUGAGGCACGAGGGUGUGGGUAGCAAACAG